rnacentral:misc_RNA from 1 species
AACGCAACUUGCGCCCUCUGGUAUUCCGGAGGGCAUGCCUGUUUGAGUGUCGUGAACACCUCAACCCUCUAAUGUUUUUGCAUUGAAGGCGUUGGUAGUGAGCGCUGCCGGUCUUUGGGUCGGCUCGCUUUAAAAUAAUUAGCUGGAUCCAUUCUGACCUGGUUCUACUCGGCGUAAUAAGUUAUUAUCGUCGAGGACGCCUAGCCUUCUAGGCAGGCGGCCACAGUAAGGGUGUUUGAACCGCUUCCAACACGUCUUGCUCUUGUAGCAAACACUUGAACCUCUGACCUCAAAUCAGGCAGGACUACCCGCUGAACUUAA